rnacentral:rRNA from 1 species
UACGUAGGGCGCAAGCGUUAUCCGGAAUUAUUGGGCGUAAAGAGCUCGUAGGCGGUUUGUCGCGUCUGCUGUGAAAGACCGGGGCCCAACUCCGGUUCUGCAGUGGGUACGGGCAGACUAGAGUGAUGUAGGGGAGACUGGAAUUCCUGGUGUAGCGGUGAAAUGCGCAGAUAUCAGGAGGAACACCCGUGGCUAAGGCGGCUCUCUAGUACGGUACUGACGCUGAGACGCGAAAGCGUGGGGAGCGAACAGG